GACGAACGCUGGCGGCGUGCUUAACACAUGCAAGUCGAACGGUGAAGCGCCUUCCUUUUUGGUGGGUGUGGAUGAGUGGCGAACGGGUGAGUAACACGUGAGUAACCUGCCCCCUUCUUCUGGAUAACCGCAUGAAAGUGUGGCUAAUACGGGAUAUUCUGGGUCUGUCGCAUGAUGGGUCUGGGAAAGAUAUUGUUUCGGUGGGGGAUGGGCUCGCGGCCUAUCAGCUUGUUGGUGGGGUGAUGGCCUACCAAGGCGGUGACGGGUAGCCGGCCUGAGAGGGUAGACGGUCACACUGGGACUGAGACACGGCCCAGACUCCUACGGGGGGCAGCAGUGUGGAGUAUUGCACAGUGGGCGCAAGCCUGAUGCAGCGACGCCGCGUGAGGGAUGGAGGCCUUCGGGUUGUGAACCUCUUUCGCCAGUGAAGCAGGCCUGCCUCGUUUGUGGGUGGGUUGACGGUAGCUGGAUAAGAAGCGCCGGCUAACUACGUG
rnacentral:rRNA from 1 species